GACGAACGCUGGCGGCGUGCUUAACACAUGCAAGUCGAACGGAAAGGCCCUGCUUUUGUGGGGUGCUCGAGUGGCGAACGGGUGAGUAACACGUGAGUAACCUGCCCUUGACUUUGGGAUAACUUCAGGAAACUGGGGCUAAUACCGGAUAGGAGCUCCUGCUGCAUGGUGGGGGUUGGAAAGUUUCGGCGGUUGGGGAUGGACUCGCGGCUUAUCAGCUUGUUGGUGGGGUAGUGGCUUACCAAGGCUUUGACGGGUAGCCGGCCUGAGAGGGUGACCGGCCACAUUGGGAAUGAGGUACGGCUGAGUAUCCUACGGGAGGCAGCAGUGGGGAAUAUUGCAGAAUGGGCGGAAGCCUGAUGCAGCAACGCCGCGUGCGGGAUGACGGCCUUCGGGUUGUAAUCCGCUUUCGCCGGUGACGAAGAGUGAGUGACGGUAAUGGGUAAAGAAGCGCCGGCUAACUACG
rnacentral:rRNA from 1 species